CAGAGCCGCGGUAAUACGUAGGUGGCAAGCGUUGUCCGGAAUUAUUGGGCGUAAAGGGCUCGCAGGCGGUUUCUUAAGUCUGAUGUGAAAGCCCCCGGCCCAACCGGGGAGGGUCAUUGGAAACUGGGAAACUUGAGUGCAGAAGAGGAGAGUGGAAUUCCACGUGUAGCGGUGAAAUGCGUAGAGAUGUGGAGGAACACCAGUGGCGAAGGCGACUCUCUGGUCUGUAACUGACGCUGAGGAGCGAAAGCGUGGGGAGCGAACAGGAUUAGAUACCCGCGUAGUCCCUGUCUCUUAUACA
rnacentral:rRNA from 1 species